UGUACCAGAAAGGUUGAGGUAGCAACACUGGGUGUAGCAAGCCACGCACACUGCCACGGGUCCUGGAGACGGAUGGACUGGGAACUCCACUCGCCACCCGCUUUAUACCCUCGUUCAGCCCUGCGCAACUUUCAUUGGUACUGAGGUCCAAUAGCAAGUUGUGUGAUCAAUCUGCACUUUGUUCGCUCCUCAGAGUCAUCGACGCCAUCUUCCCAGAAUGAACGACAUUGAUGUGGAGGAAAGCCCCAUGCACAGCUUUAAGAGCAGGAAUGACAGGGCCCAUUAGGCUACAUGAGGUGAAUCUGGCAAGCCGCAAGAGGCAGAUGCCAGGAACUGAGUCUCGACCUCUUCAGCCACAUAUAAGUUGGUAGGUAAGACACAUAGGCAACAUGUGGAAAAAGACACUUAUGUACAGUU